CGGGUCUCGAACUCCUGAUGUAGGGUGAUCUGCCCGCCUCAGCCUCCCAGAGUGUUGGGAUUACAGACAUAAGCCACUGCUCCCGGCCGAUUUAUUAUUAUUUUUUAACAAGGAACUGCAUGAUACAUUAAUUGUAUAAUUAAAGUUAAUAAUAAUACAAAUAAAAACAUGUAAGUUUAGUCUGGGCACCGUGGCUCAUGCCUGUUAUCCCAGCACUUUGGGAGGCCAAGGCGGGUAGAUCACUUGAGGUCAAGAGUUCAAGACUACCCUGGCCAACACGGUGAAACCCCCGACUCUACUAAAAAUACAAAAAUUAGCCGGUCGUGGUGGCAGGUCACUGUAAUCCUAGCUACUUGGGAGGCUGAGGCAGGAGAAUUGCUUGAAUCCGGGAGGAGGAAGUUGCAGUAAGCCAAGAUCCUGCCACCGCACUCCAGCCUGGCAACAGAGUGAGACUCUGUCUCAAAAACAGACAAACAAACAAAUGUAAGGUUAGUUAAGUUCACUCUUUCCCAGACUAGAGAAUUUCAGCUACAUCAAACGUCAAAAUAAUUAGAAUGUGUACAGGAAAAUGUCAUCAUAGGUGGCAAAGAAAUUAGCUUGGCUAACGUUAGCAGACAUUUGGAUACUCUGAGAUAGCUGAUAGUUUGACAGUAGUACCAUCUUUUCCAAGCAAAAAUUUGGACAGAAAUGUAAGUAUUUUCUAGCAUAGAACCAGUCUACAAAACCAGCCAAGUUUUUUUCAUGUUUGUUUGUUUGUUUGUUUGUUUUUGAGCCAGAGUCUCUCUCUGUCGCCCAGGCUGGAGAGCAGUGGCGCAAUCUCGGCUCACUGCAACCUCUGUCUCCUGGGUUCAAGCAUUUCUCAUGCCUCAGCCUCCUGUGUACCUAGGAUUAAAGGCACCUGCCACCACGACCGGCUAAUUUUUUUUUGUAUUUUUAGUAGAGAUAGCAUUUCACCGUGUUGGCCAGGCUUGUCUUGAACUCCUGACCUCAGGUGAUCUACCUGCCUCGACCUCCCAAAGUGCUGGGAUUACAGGCGUGAGCCACCACGCCCAGCCAGAAAAGUAAGUAUUUUCUAGCACAGAAGCAGUCUACAAAACCAACCAAGUUUUGAUAGCAAAAUAGAAAAGCCCAGUUGUGGCUACAAAUCCAGCUCUUUAUUGGCCAAAUAGACGUUUAGGAUGUUUUAGCCUUUCAUAGGAGACAGAAUUGGUGGGUAAGUAUUGCCACCCCGUGGCUACGAUUCACAUUGCAGUUUGUCCUUUUGUCUUCAAAAUACUAAACCAAGGCUUGUGUCCUUUGGAUAUCCCCUAAUAGUAAAAUGUUUUAGAAAUUUGAGAAACUCACAUAGGGUUAUUAAAAUAUUGACAAGUAAAAAAAAUUUUAAAACCUACUAUCCUAUUGUCAUUAUGAGUUUGUAAAAGACCAGACGUUGAGCCAGGUGGGAUGGCUCACGCCUGUAAUUCCAGCACUUACAGAGGCCAAGGCAGGUGGAUCACCUGAGGUCAGGAGGUGGAUCACCUGAGGUCAGGAGUUCGAGACCAGCCGGGCCAAUAUAGUGAAACCCCGUCUCUACUAAAAAUACAAAAAUUAGCCAGGCAUUGUGGUGGGUGCCUGUAAUCCUAGCUAUUUGGGAGGCUGAGGUAGGAGAAUCACUUAGAACCCAGGAGGCAGAGGUUGUAGUGAGCCGAGACUGUGCCACUGCACUCCAGCCUUGAUGAAAAAGCCAGACUUUGAAAAAACAAAAAAAUCAGAUGUUGAAAACCAAAAAACUAGAAAGGACAUAAACUCAGAUAAAAGGACAGUCCUGCUUAUGAAAGGUCAGUUCAAAAUUUUUCUUUUCUUUCUUUCUUUUUUUUUUUUUUUGAGACAGGGUUUGUUCUGUCACCCAGGCCGGAGUGCAGUGGUGCAAAUGCAGCUCACUACAGCCUCGACCUCCCAGGCUCAAGAAUCCUCCCACCUCAGUCUCCCAAGUAGCUGGGACCACAGGUGGGCUCCAACAUGCCAGGCUAAUUCUUAAAUUUUGUAUACAGACAAGGUCUUGUUAUGUUGCCCAGGCUGGUCUCGAACUCCUGGGCUCAAGCAGUCCUCCUGCCUUAGCCUCCCAAAGUGCUGGGAUUAUAGGCAUGAGCCACUCCACCCAGCUGAACUGUGUAUGCAUUUCGUAAAUAUAUAAAUAUUCCCUAUAUUAACUAUUAAUAUUAACUAUAUUUAUAAUAUUUACAUAAUUGUCCUUUAUCAAUAUAUGUCUCAGAUUUAUCAACUCAAGUGCAGCCAAAUUCUGUCUCUAAAAAAUGAGUAAAUAAAUGAAUAAAUAGGCCGGACAAGGUCUUGUAACAGAUACUUAAUGUGGGUGGUGUCGGGAGUGAGACAGUGGGAGAGUUCAUGAGUAAUGCUUUCCUUCACGCAGAGGCAAACUGUUUUUGGUCCUCUUUUCUGUUAGGGAUUGAAAAGAACCCACUCACCAGAUCAGUGUCCUGUAUCAUGUUUCAGAGGGUGUGUUGAUCUCUUCUGGUAAAACAGAUGCCAUGGCUGGGCGCGGUGGCUCAGGCCUGUAAUCUCAGCACUUUGGGAGGUGGAGGCGGGCAGAUCACCUGAGGUCAGGAGUUGGGGACCAGUCAUGGCCACCAUGGUGAAAUUCCGUCUCUACUAAAAAUACAAAAAAUUAACGGGGUGUGGUUGUGCACGCCUGUAAUCCCAACUACUUGGGAGGCUGA
rnacentral:lncRNA from 10 species